rnacentral:tRNA from 1 species
GGCCACGUGGCGAAGUGGUAACGCAGCGGUCUGCAAAACCGCGAUGCGCCGGUUCAAAUCCGGCCGUGGCCUCCA